rnacentral:rRNA from 1 species
CAAAGGUAGCAUAAUCACUUGUCUACUAAUUAUAGACCUGUAUGAAAGGCAAAAUGAGGGUCUAGCUGUCUCUUAUAAUCAAUCAAUAAAACUGAUCUCCCAGUAAAAAAGCUGGAAUUCCCACAUAAGACCAGAAGACCCUGUGAAGCUUAAACUAAACUAUUAAACCAAAUAAUAGCUACUUUAGGUUGGGGCGACCUUGGAAAUAAAAAGAACUUCCAAAAAUAUGAACUCCUCAUACCACACCAGGCCCACAAGCCACUUAAACGACCCAGCCACGGCUGACCAUUGAACCAAGUUACUCCAGGGAUAACAGCGCAAUCUUCUUCAAGAGCCCAUAUCAAAAAGAAGGUUUACGACCUCGAUGUUGGAUCAGGACAUCCUAAUUGGUGCAGCCGCUAUUAAGGGUUCGUUUGUUCAACGAUUAACAGU